AUUGAACGCUGGCGGCAGGCCUAACACAUGCAAGUCGGACGGUAGCACAGGGGAGCUUGCUCCUCGGGUGACGAGUGGCGGACGGGUGAGUAAUGUCUGGGGAUCUGCCCGAUAGAGGGGGAUAACCACUGGAAACGGUGGCUAAUACCGCAUAACGUCGCAAGACCAAAGAGGGGGACCUUCGGGCCUCUCACUAUCGGAUGAACCCAGAUGGGAUUAGCUAGUAGGCGGGGUAACGGCCCACCUAGGCGACGAUCCCUAGCUGGUCUGAGAGGAUGACCAGCCACACUGGAACUGAGACACGGUCCAGACUCCUACGGGAGGCAGCAGUGGGGAAUAUUGCACAAUGGGCGCAAGCCUGAUGCAGCCAUGCCGCGUGUAUGAAGAAGGCCUUCGGGUUGUAAAGUACUUUCAGCGGGGAGGAAGGCGAUGUGGUUAAUAACCGCGUCGAUUGACGUUACCCGCAGAAGAAGCACCGGCUAACUCCGUGCCAGCAGCCGCAGUAACAC
rnacentral:rRNA from 1 species